AGCCAUCCAGAUGUUACCGUGCUAGUCCACGAAAGUGGAGGAUAAUACUUCGAAUAGGUGAAAAACCUUGCUUUGUAAAGCUAGACCUGGAAAAGUUAGAGAAGUAG
rnacentral:ncRNA from 1 species